GUAGGUGGCAAGCGUUGUCCGGAAUUAUUGGGCGUAAAGCGCGCGCAGGCGGUUCUUUAAGUCUGAUGUGAAAGCCCACGGGCUCAACCGUGGAGGGUCAUUGGAAACUGGAGAACUUGAGUACAGAAGAGGAAAGCGGAAUUCCACGUGUAGCGGUGAAAUGCGUAGAGAUGUGGAGGAACACCAGUGGCGAAGGCGGCUUUCUGGUCUGUAACUGACGCUGAGGCGCGAAAGCGUGGGGAGCAAACAGGAUUAGAUACCCUGGUAGUCCACGCCGUAAACGAUGAGUGCUAAGUGUUAGGGGGUUUCCGCCCCUUAGUGCUGUAGCUAACGCAUUAAGCACUCCGCCUGGGGAGUACGGCCGCAAAGGCUG
rnacentral:rRNA from 1 species